GCCUUCGUGGUGUAAAGGUAGCACACUCGGCGCGUAUCCGAGAGAUCAAGGUUCGAGUCCCGGCGAGGGCA
rnacentral:tRNA from 1 species